AGAGCAUAACUCUUCUUUUAUGUAUGGCAUAACCUGUCAUUUCGUGGAAUAUUUAGUCCCGCGUUCUUUUCUCAUUUUUGUGAUGGUAUAGCGUCGCGUCGGUUUCGUUUCAAGUACACCAUCAAGGAAAUCCAGAAUAAGAUGUCCACUCCCUCCCUGCUCCUCUGUUUUUUCUAGGUACACAGGUUUAUACGAUCAUAUUGAGUUUUAUCACAAAACUACAAUUGAUUAUGAACAGUUUGUGUUUCAAAACAUUAAAGAUUUUGAAUUGUGGAAAACGGACAUAGAGCGGAAAGAGUUUUCGCAUUAUGUAAAAUGCAAUUCAGGAUAUAAAUCAAAAACUGAUGACAAGACAAUUUAUUUCGAUUGCCACAGGUCAUAUACAAAUGACCAAAAACCCACUGUACGCUUGUUUACUAAAACGAGCAACAAAACCGGAUAUGCUUGCCCAUCAAGGAUUGGUUGUACUAUUAAUCACAAUGGAACAGUUCAU